AGAGAAGCGGCGGCGGCGGCGGCGCUGCGGGCGCGCCAGAUGGGGCGGGAGGAGGGGAGACCCGGCACCCACCGGCCCAGAGCUGCCUGACGCGGCCUGGGCGGACCCCGCCGCCCGGGUGCCUAGGCACGAUUCCAGGGAUCCAGGGUAAAGCGGUUCGCGCGGGAACAGGAGGAUAUGUCAGGCACAGGCUAUUCCCCAUCACUAUAGCCACAGAGGACUGGUCCAGAUGCGGAUCCCGAUCUGUGCUUCUUCAGAUGGUUGGAUACCAAGAAAGCUGCUCAGGAAACCUUACAACACAAUGGAAAAAACAUUGGAGCUCCUGGUUAAGCCUUCAGACUCCAGGAGGCACACCAUUGGGCUCCUCAAGUUCUCACCCCUUUGGUCUCAGACUGAAUUAUACCACCAACUUCCCUGGUUCUCCACCUUGCAGAUGGCAGAUUGUGGAACUUCUUGGCCUCCAUAGUUGCAUGAAGCAAUUCUCAUAUUAAUUCGCCACUUACAUAUCUAUACAUAUUCUCUUGGGUCUGUUUCUCUGGAGAACCCUGACUUAUACAUGACCUUCAUGUAUAGCUAAAUAACAAUGUAUUAAUAUUUUCCACAGAGGUGUCAUGUCUCUGUAUAUUAAAUGAUCCAAGGCCAGGCGCGGUGGCUCACGCCUGUAAUCCCAGCACUUUGGGAGGCCAAGGUGGGCAGAGGAGGUCAGGAGUUUGAGACCAGCCUGGCCAAUAUGGUGAAACACCUUCUCUACUAAAAAAAUGUUAGCUGGGCAUGGUGGCGCACACCUGUAAUCCCAGCCACUUGAGAGGCUGAGGAGGGAGAAUUGCUAGAACCUGGGAGAUGGAAGUUGCAGUGAGCCAAGAUUAUGCCACUGCACUCCAGCCUGGGUGACAGAGCGUGACACUGUCUCAAUAAAAAUAAAAAUAUAUGAUACAGAUUCAUCAAAAUUAUAAAACUACCUCAGUUUUUAAAAAACAUGUUUGUCACUGUUUUAUGGUAUCUGAUUGCAAAAUUACAAUAAUGAUGGCUAGUAUUUAUUAGUUGAUGAAACACAACCAUAAUUUGUAAGGUAUAGUAAUUCCCAUCAACUUUAGAAACUGAAUUAGCAAUCAAAACUAUAUAUAUCCAUUCUUUUAAUUAUUUUUAAAAGCCUAUAAUAAGGAUGUUAAAGGUAAAGCUAAGUUUUCAAUAAUAACCCUAAAAUAACUGCAUUAUGCAUAUCCUUUGGAAAGAAAGAGAGCAAUGAGGGAUGGAUUUAAAAUAUUCUAUCUACCAAGUUAUUUUAUGCAAAUAGUUUUUAAAAUAACAUCAUAUAAAUUAACAAAGAUCAGGGCAAGUUCCUUAAUCAAAGUAAAAUAUUAAAUAUAAUUUUAAAGAGAAAAUUUAAUAGUUCCUAUGAGUUUUUUGCCUAUUUUGACCUUAAAAAUUAAUAAACAGUUAUCACAUUCAAGAUCUUACCUAUACAUAUCUACUUAAGACACUGUAAAUUUUGCUUCUUCUGAUACUGAGUAAUGUUGCAUUUUCUUUUAUAAAUGAGACAUAAGGAUGAUAGCAACCACACAUGCACACUCCAGAGAUUGUUCUAACUUCCCUCCACCCCUUCUUUUGAAACAGGGUCUUGCUCUGUUGCCCAGCCUGUAUCACAAUCUCAGCUCACUGCAACCACCUCUCGAAGUCAAGCAAUUAUCCCACCUCAGCCUCCUAAGAAGCUGGGACCACAGGCGAGAGCCACCACACCUGGCUUAUUGUUUUUUGCAUGUUUAGUAGAGAUGAGGUUUCGCCAUGUUGCCCAGGCUGGUCUUGAACUCCUGAGCUCGAGCGAUCUGCCACCCUCUGCAUCCCAAAGUGUUAGGAUUACAGGUGUGAGCUGCAUGCCUGGCCUAACUUUUUCAGGUGUAUUAACACUAUGCCAUCUAAAUUUUGCAUCUAACAAAACUCAUUUUCAGAAAACAGGUUGAUUGGAGGUCAUGGAACGGUUAAAUAUUAGAGCUGAGACUUGUAUCCAGGCAGUCUGGCUCCUGAGUCUCUGUGCUUAACCAAUAUUCAGUGUUAUACAAAUCGUUUUCUUAACUCUGUAUGCCUUUUCUUUCCUAAGUUCAGAGGCUUCCGAAAAAUUUAGCUGAAAGUGAGAAAUUCCUAUUCAGUGAAUGGAGACUAUAGAGUAGAGCCGGUGCCAAAGGAUAAUUGUGGGACCGUCUCAGAGAACUAAGUUUCAAUUUUUAAAGUGGGUCUUUUAAUUUAUAUUUCUAUUUGAGUCAUUUUGUAUUUUAUUUAUUUUCAUAUGACCAAUCAUCUUGUGUUCCACAUAUCUAAUGAUAUAAUCAAAAAUUAUAUAGAAAAGAGUUAAACAAAUUUAUGAUUUUUUCUAACUAAAUUAUUUACAAGUCUGUUCUAUUACCAUAAUUUACUAUAUUUGCUAAUUUUCCCUUUUGUAAAAUUAUUUUUAUCUAUUCACAUUUUCUUAUUUCCUACCUUCAUCUAUAAACAGGAGAAAAAAAUUAUGUAAAGCCAGUGCCUCUCUUUUAUAAUAAGGGGUCAACUAUUUGGAACCUCCAUAAGAUUUCCCCCUUUUUUAGUGAAGGACAAUAUGUUUUUCAGGUACUUACUCCCGACCUUUGGUUUAUAUGUAAUGAUAUUGUGGCAGGAAAAAAAUAUAGUGGCCUUUAUAUAUACCACAGGCUUUAUGUACAUUUUAAAUAUUUAAAAUUGUAAAAUGUUAAAAAUGUAAGUAAAAGGAAAACAAGAUGACAACCAUAUCAUUAUGAGACUAUUAUUUUUAGCAUUAUAAACUUACAGAUGAUAAGCCAAUUAUACUAUUUCUUUUUAUGGAACGAUAUGUAAAGUAAAUAAAAGUAACAAGUAUAUACACA
rnacentral:lncRNA from 10 species